rnacentral:rRNA from 1 species
GUGGGGAAUAUUGGACAAUGGGCGAAAGCCUGAUCCAGCCAUGCCGCGUGUGUGAAGAAGGUCUUCGGAUUGUAAAGCACUUUAAGUUGGGAGGAAGGGCAUUAACCUAAUACGUUAGUGUUUUGACGUUACCAACAGAAUAAGCACCGGCUAACUUCGUGCCAGCAGCCGCGGUAAUACGAAGGGUGCAAGCGUUAAUCGGAAUUACUGGGCGUAAAGCGCGCGUAGGUGGUUUUGUAAGUUGGAGGUGAAAUCCCCGGGCUCAACCUGGGAACUGCCUCCAAAACUGCAUGACUAGAGUACGGUAGAGGGUAGUGGAAUUUCCUGUGUAGCGGUGAAAUGCGUAGAUAUAGGAAGGAACACCAGUGGCGAAGGCGACUACCUGGACUGAUACUGACACUGAGGUGCGAAAGCGUGGGGAGCAAACAGGAUUAGAAACCCUUGUAGUCC